UGUCCUUUCUAAUAUACAAUAAACAUGCCAUUUCUAGUAUACAAUAAUUUAUACAGUAAGUUUAAUAUAACCAAUUUUCCAAUUUUAACAAUCAUGAUCUAUCCUCAUGUAUAUGAAAACCUAAGAUAAAUCUUUUUUUUUAAAUUAAGGAAAUUUUUAGAAAAUCAUUACUUUAACCAACUUCAAUCUCUACCACUGCAUUUGGAACAAAUAAUAUUUAGUCAGAUGGAAUGCCUCUCAAAUAUUUAAAAGAACGGAGUCUCGCUCUGUCACCCAGGCUGGAAUACAGUGACGCGAUCUCUGCCCACUGCAAGCUCUGCCUAAGAAGGUUAAGUAAAGAGAAUAUCUGGCCACUUUCCUCAGUGUAUCUCAGUAAAUACUAUGUUAUUUAGCUCUUCUAUCAGCAGAUAUGUAAGCUGUUUAUUGCAUCAGUAAUUUUCAAAGAAAAUGAAUGUAAAGUAAACAGAGCAACAGAGGCCUGUGAAAAAACUAGAAAGAAAACAGCCACAUGGCAAGAGAAGAAGGAAUGGAAGAAGGCUCUGGGAGGUGUUGAAUUUGUUUGAGUUCUUUCUCCUAGAAGACAGAAGCAGGUGCAAUAGAACACAAAUAUAAAAAGGGAAGCCAAGGUUCCUGCCUGGGUCAUAAAAAAUACUGGAUACAAAAGAUUUUAGAAGAAGAAGGAGAAAACAAAUUCAGGGGCAAGACACCAGAACCAUUGGAAAGACCGAUGGAGAGUUACGUGAAGAGCUUCCAGAAAAUAAGGCAUAUACAAGUGCUAGUAUUCCAGUCUUACACACAGAUGCAUAGAUAAAUAAAUAACAUCACACAUUUGCUAAUAAAUAGCACAGAUGACUUUUUAGAUGUAUCUCUAGAUGUAACGAUUCUUAGAAGCUUCAUACCCAAAUUUCCAGAUAUCUUCAACAGUCUAAAGUAGAACUCUUUACCAGCUCCAUCAAGACAAUUCUUUAUCUAGCUCUAUCUCAAUUGAUAUCUUUACAUCUCCCCAAGCAACGUGAGCUCAAGACUUUUAAUUCCUUUUUGUUAAGCGUUCUAUAUUGACACUUAAUUCUGCAAGUGCUCUUCCUCAGUGUCUCAUACGUAAUUCUAUUUAUUUGCUGCUACUGGUAUAACAAUUACAUUAUUGUAAUUGUUUCCUAACUGGUCUCCCAAACUCCAGUUAUUCAACUUUUCUCUUUUCUCUAAAGUAAAACCACCCACCUCUCACCACAAAAUAAUUCAACUCAUUAUAUGCCCAGUGCAGUAGUCCAAUGAUACUUAAUGCCUGGAGGCGGAGAACCAAAUUUCUUAACCUUAUUUUUAAAACCCUAUACCUUUCAUAUUUGCCAUUUCAUCUCCCCUACUUUUCCCUUCAUAACAAUGUGUUUCAUGCUUGUAGUAUAGUGCUGUCUUAGCUUGUCUCAUAUUAAAGCUAUCCAUAAUUGCUUCAAUUGGUCAUGUGAGACUGGAAAUGCAGAGAGAGCCAGGACAAUGCUUUCCUUGCCUUUGCUUAAUUCAAAAUGCUUUUCAGGAUGUUUUAUAUACAGUAGAAUAUAGCAGUGACUGCCACUUGUAUAUCCAUAUCAAUUCUCCCUUAUCAAAGCUCACCAGUCAAAGUCUAUACAGAACUCAAAUGUGGUCAAACAAGGAAGAGCAGGGUCUCUUAGUAACAGGAAGUUGGAAGAGGCUUAUUAUAGGAUUUAGACUUGUGCUGUGUGGCUAUAGAGGCUAGAGAAAGGAAGGCUAGCUUUGAAUUGAAUAAUGUCCAGAAGUAAGAGCAAUUCAGUAACAUAGUUGCCAGGUAUCAUAAUCUUUGUUCAGGACACUGGAGGAACAAAAUCAUGCUAGGGAUAUAUCAUUGGUAAUAAAACAGCAACAUACUCAAAAGUCAAUUUUUGCAGCUACAAUAUGGCCUUGUUAAAAACAUGGUUUAUUAUAAUCUAACCAUUAACAGCUAAUUUUUCAUUUUCUCUCUUUUCUUUCUUUUAGUGAUAGAACCACCUAAAUUUAAUAGGGUAUGUGGCUGUCCAGACUAUGCUAUUAAACCCUUCAUGUUGCUAAUUUUGUGUAUGUAGCUAAAUUCUAGUCAAUGGGAUGAAACCUGAUUUCAUGCUUGUGACUUCCAUAGUACAUUUUUUUUUAAAAAAAGAAACAGCUUUCUCUCAUUCAUCCUUUACUUCAUUCUAUGAACCAAACACAUAUGUAUUUCUGUAGGUCAGCUUUGACUAUGUAUUUCCUUGGAGAUAGUGGAGUAAAAAGUUAGAAGGCUCAUAAGAUUCCAUGACAACUUUGUGGAACAUAGCUACCUGUCUACCCUAGAUCGUUCACCUUCUUCUGAAUAGUAAAUGAAAAAGAAAUAAUCUAUCUUCCUUUACCCAGUGAACAUUUGAAUCUUUUCAUUAGAGUAGCUUGUUUCAUACUCAUUUAAUAACAUAUGACAAGAUAUUGGCCAUUGAAUUAUGAAUUAUAAUAAUAAAAUGUUAAGUACCUCUACUAUGGAUCUAGAAGUUCUUAGUUGGAUUAUGUGCAUUAUCUAUUACCUUCUUUGGCCUUCCAUUAUGUAACUUGCCAAGUAUUUUUAUGAAUCAGGAAACUAUUUGCAUAGAUACACUGAAUAAACAUGUAAGACU
rnacentral:lncRNA from 1 species